UAUAUGGUGAUCAAUACACUACAACAACAAAAUCGAGUGCAAGUAGUGUGAAUUCGACGGCUUCAGUAGAUGUGGAGGCUAUGAAAGCUGCAAUUCUGGAGGAGCUCAGAGAGGAGAUGACACAUAAUUUCAACGCCUUUUUGGAGCAAAUGGGUUUACUGACUUUUGCUACAUUCAAGAAGGGUAGUGUUAUUACACCUACCCAGCCUGAUCCAGUUGUAGUACCAAAGUUGAAGGAAGAGACACCAUGUGAACUAUUAGCUUGAGGAGAUGGUUAUGAUUGUUUCACUCUCGUAGCUUAUGACCAUGCACAACCCCCUAGUGACCGAGUACGAUUGCACAUACAGUUUGUGGAUGAUAUUCACUAUAUGGUCAGCCUCAAUGGGAUUGUUUUUGGUUUCGAAGAAUUACCUCUUCCGCUGCCGAAACCAGAAGUUGGUCUACAAUCACUAAAGGAUGCCCUUGACAGUUAUGUUCUAUGGCCGCGUGCGUUGGUGCAGGUUUCAGAUGAGGUUUGGGGAAGGUCGACUCACAUGAUAGGAAGGGAAAGAAGGCAUGUUCACCUGAGGAAGGACGACGUGAUGAAGGUGAACAAAAUGUGGUGAAGGAAAAGGUUUCUAUGACAAGAAUCCACUUAUUAUCGAUCUAGAGGUGGUGCAAGGCCUUAGUACUCUAUGUUGUUGGUUACAUAAGUGCGCUAGCGAUUUAGCCGAUGAUAGUAUCAUUGAGUUUCCUUUGCUGGAGAAACAAUUCCACUACUUUAAGGACUGAUCGACCUUGAUUUCUAAGGUUGAUAUUUAAGAAUUCUUAUGUGGGGUAGAGUUGAAUGUUUCCAUGAUACAAACAUUCAUGAGGGCUCAUUGGACACUGCUUGCGAUAUGUUUGUCACAUAACGAAGUCUACCACUUUGAUUCUUUGCCUCGACAACCACCACGGUUCUUACUAAUCAAAUCAUUGUUAAAUAGUGUGAUGAAGCAUGUUAGUGCAACAGGACUUCAAGCAUCAAAACUCCUGUUUGGAAAUCAGUCGAGUGUCCGCAACAAGAACAUGGACUUUCAUGUGGCUAUUACGUGCUGAGGUACAUGUUCAAUAUCGUCAACCGUUGCACGAAAGUCGAUGAUCUUCAAAAGUUUGAGGGCCUUCACCACAGAAGAAUUACAUAAAGUUCGGGAUAAGUUGGCGUCCCACAUUACCGAUGAUUGCUUACGAUACUUUUAAGCUAUAUCUACUAGUUUGUAUCAAUUCUAUUUACACUUUUUACAUUAUUAAAUAUAUAUUCAAAGUUAAUUAUUGCAUUAAAAAACUUGUCAUAUAUUAUUG